CAGGAGAAUCACUUGAACCCGGGAGGCGGAGUUCACGUGCCUGCUUGGUUUCCUAGAAUAUCUUCUCCAUAAGACAUGAGAUUCAAGCCUGGGAUAUUGUAGUGAAGAAGAGAGAAAGAGAAUGGCAACACCUGAGUUCCAGGAGUCAGCCUGCUAGUAGUAACAGCUAAGUCUUGGUGUUGCUAUGGGGUGGUCUGGCUCUUCAACUAGGCUUUGAUAUUCUUCUAUUGGACAUAAACAAUCUCAGAAAACGUUAAUAUCAGACAAGGCUAUUCUGUCACCAUGAUAGACCAAGACUAAGGCAAGACCACUUCAUAAUAAUUCCUGUACAAAGGCAAAAUAUGAACAUUGUCCACAUCAAAUAAGUGACUAAACAUUUCUUUAAACCAGUUAAUACGAGUGAAUGCUAUUUCCUUAUGAAACAGUGUUAGACUUGCUCUCAUCUAUCUCCCUUCUAGAUUAAACUCAGUCAUAGAAUUGUCUAAACUUUAUGAUAGCAUCCAAUCCAGAGUAAGCCCACUUCUUUCAAUCCUCCCGAAAAUCACUAAAGCAAAGUUCAGAUAGAGUAAGUCAUUUCUAAAACCCAUUUACAGAGAUGCUCCACAAUUCCCCAUGAUGUGCAUUGUCCUUUGCUACGAUGGGAAAUUAACUCAACUUGUUCAAAUACAGGUGUGUUCUUUUUUCUCCUUAGUAGAGGGCAUUGAAUACAAGAGAGAGAGAAGAGAACACAAAGCAGUUUCAGAAAAACACCCAAAAUAAAUCACAAGAAGUAUACCCAAAAUACUUGAAACUUUUCUUGUGUUCCACCAAAAUCUCUAAAUCCCAGAGUAUAUCCUUGAAUUUCAAUUCCAUCAUGUUAGAAUUUAUUUUCAAAGAUGGAGGAUAGAGUAAAUGGUCAAUGCUUCUCUGGUGCAGAGAGGGGUCUUCUUAAAUAUACCCCUAACUUUAUGUCCCAUUGAAAAAAGUAAUAAAAGUAAAUUAAUUAAGAGAAUAUUGACCUCUGAAAAAAUUGCUUGCUCCUUCUUACAGAUAUUUAUGUCAGAGCACAGGGAAUAGUAUUUUAUCACCUUCCUGACUUUUUAUUCCCAUUGCAUAAAUCUGUCAGUGAGCAAGCUCUAUCCCCAGCUGGGCUGGUCUAGCUACAAAAUAAGACAGGCAGAUACCAAUGCAAAACUGUGGUUUAUUUUUGAAAAACUUUUACCUCUGCUUUCAUUUUGGCUUUUAAUAAGUUUGACAAUUCUCAGCAUUUUUUUUUUUUGCUUUUUUGUCCAAAUUUCCUGCCUGAUGGGGAAGUCUGAGGAUGAUUAAUGUUCAAGAAAGUUGUGAGGAAAUGUGCCACCCAAGUUUAAUGCAUUAUUAUUUUACUAAAUCACAAUUUUCUUGGUGUCCAUAUCAGUAGCCUAACCUUAUGCAGUAAUAACUGAUUCAGACUUCAUUUAUAAAACGGAAGGGAAAAAUGCAAGAAUAAAAAGGAAGAGAAUUCACAGCAGAGCAAAGAGAAAUUACUGCCAUAUGAACUCUAACACUGUAGCAUUCUUUCACGGUCUGGUACUUUUUAAUCUUGAGUCAUAGAUGGAAAAAUAAAGGAAAAAAAUUGAGGCACAACCAUUCUACAGUAGGCAAGGCAAUUGAGAUUGCUUGGAUUCAUUACUCUGAACUCCAGCAAACAGCUACAGAAUGCCUAGAAUUCCCCAGACAUGACUAUUACAGCUCUCUGUGGUGGCUCAACAGACUUCGUUUUCAGAUAGGUUAUUUGGAGCACCAAUUUUCUUUCUAAAAAUCUUUGUUUUGGCCUUGAUUUGGAAAUAACCUAUGACCGUAGUAUUUAUUUUUCUGCUUAAGAAUUCAUAGAGAAUUUUGGUUUGGGCAGCAUGACAACUUUUACUUAAUAAAAAUAUGAGAAAAAUAUAUAGUUAUAUAGGCUGAUUCCUUUUCACAAUAACUCUACUGAGCUCAUAUAAUUCAAUCUAGUUUAUUUGUUUUUGUUUUCAUUUUUCUUUAUGUCUCUGACUGAGGCCCAGUGGGCACACUCAAUUUGGAAGGGUUUUAGAAAACAUGGCUGAAAAAUGAUGAAUUACGUAUGUAUUAAAUUGAUGUUCACAAUUUCCUGUAAGUAUAAUCUCUUUUCAUGAAAGUGAUGACUCUUUCAUAAUAGCUGAACUUUAUAAACACACGCACACACAAACUAAAUUAAAUUAAAUUAAAUAUGUCCAGGUAAUAUUUCUAAAUAUAUAUAGAAAGUUAAUCUAAAUUCUAAAUACCUUGUUGAUGUAUGCAGUAUUUUAAAGUCAUUUGGGGGAUAACAAUUCUGGCAUUGUCCUAUAGCAACAAUAAAGAGAGGCAGUUUAAAAACAGCAAUGUAAAGAAGGAUUUCAAGCCAACAUUAAUGGUGUGAUUUAGUCAAGCCCUUUUUAUUGUGGAAUUUUAUAAACCAUUCAAAAUUAUACUUAUAGCUAACAUUUCAAUAUAUUAAAAAUGCUCACAAUAAAAAUUAAUUUCUAAAAAGGCAAAUGAAUGGAGGAUGCAUAUGCAAUAUGUCCUUAACUAUAAAUAUGUUGAAAGAUGAGAGAUCAUGUGGCUGAUAGGCCAGUUGAUACAUAAUAAAAAGAAUAAAUAUAAAGAGACAAAGAGAGAAAAAAAGGAAUAAGAAAGGAAGAACAUAAAGGAAGAAGGAAGAGAGGGAGAGAGGAAGAAAGCAAUAGACGGAGGAAAGGAAAAGGUAGGAGGAAAAAAGACAAAGCUAGCAGGAAACCAAUAUAUAUAUAAUAAAUAUUAAUGUUAAGAAUAUAUUAAUUAAUGGAAGUGUUAAUGAUCUGUGAGUGGUCUGCCCAGAUGUGAUUCUUACUAUACUAUUACAUAGCCCAAAUUUUCUUAAUUGGACAUACAUUUUCUGUAGCCAGAAAAUUAAAAUAUUAAUUUCAGAAAAAAAUUGUUAUUUCUAUCCUCUAAAUGCAUGCCCCAAUGAAUAAUAGUCAAAUAUUAAAAUUACACACACAAAAGUUGUGAAAUAGAAGACUAUAUAUAUUUUUUCAUUAACAUAAACAGAAAAAUUCCUACUAGCUCUUCACAUCAGGAUUUGUAUGACCCAUUAACGUGUUCAAAUGCAACAUUGCUCAUUAAAGGAAGAGUUCUUACAACUCAAUUCAAGGUAAUUAUUAUUUUUAUUUUCUUUGUACUAAUGUCAUUUUGAAUAAAAUAUAUUCAUCAUUAAAACUUUUAUGAGCUCCUACAAGUGCAAAAGAAAAGAAUUUUGAUUGAUGUUUCUGACUGUUGAAUGUUAACCUCUAUCCUAAAGAUUGCUCACACAUAAUGGAAAAGUUAAUUCCCACUACAGUGGUAAUAUUCAUUGUACAGAUGAGGGGACAAACAUUAUGGUAUACACUAACUUCUAGCCUGACAUGGUAUUUCCAUUAAUCUGAAUCUAUCAUUAGUCUUUACUUUGGAACCUAAGCAAAACUGCAUCAACACUUACAGGUGGAUCAUAAAGACAAUUGUGAAAAUCAGUACCUGGAUUUUCAAAAAUGUUUAAUUGAUACUUUCAAUAUUCUUUUUUGAGAUAUUUUUCCUCUUCCAGGCAAUAAGGCCCCAGCAACUGACCUCACAGGAAUAGUCCCUUGCUUCCUAGCUUGGCAGCACCCCACACUGUUGGUCUUGCAACAGGUAUGCAGAUACACACAAAAUGAAAAAAAAGCACAAGACAGAGUGAAUGGAUGUAUUUAGGUCCUGGUUACUUGACUAUAAUUUGUGAGAUAAAGUAUUUCUAAAGAGUAUUUUCCACAAUUCAUCCAAGUCUCUGUUUCAGCAUCCUAAUUCAAUAUUUGUACUUAUUAACCUACAGACUUGGAUAACAAAAAACUCA
rnacentral:lncRNA from 1 species